AGCGAACGCUGGCGGCAGGCUUAACACAUGCAAGUCGAGCGGGCAUCCUUGUGGUGUCAGCGGCAGACGGGUGAGUAACGCGUGGGAACGUGCCCUUCGGUUCGGAAUAACUCAGGGAAACUUGAGCUAAUACCGGAUACGUGCGAGAGCAGAAAGGUUUAUCUGCCGAAGGAUCGGCCCGCGUCUGAUUAGCUAGUUGGUGAGGUUACGGCUCACCAAGGCGACGAUCAGUAGCUGGUCUGAGAGGAUGAUCAGCCACACUGGGACUGAGACACGGCCCAGACUCCUACGGGAAGCAGCAGUGGGGAAUGGUGGACAAUGGGGGCAACCCUGAUCCAGCCAUGCCGCGUGAGUGAUGACGGCCUUAGGGUUGUAAAGCGCUUUUCUCCGGGACGAUAAUGACGGUACCGGAGGAAUAAGCCCCGGCUAACUUCGUG
rnacentral:rRNA from 1 species